rnacentral:rRNA from 1 species
GAUGAACGCUGGCGGCGUGCCUAAUACAUGCAAGUCGAGCGAACAGACGAGGAGCUUGCUCCUCUGACGUUAGCGGCGGACGGGUGAGUAACACGUGGAUAACCUACCUAUAAUACUGGGAUAACUUCGGGAAACCGGAGCUAAUACCGGAUAAUAUAUUGAACCGCAUGGUUCAAUAGUGAAAGACGGUUUUGCUGUCACUUAUAGAUGGAUCCGCGCCGCAUUAGCUAGUUGGUAAGGUAACGGCUUACCAAGGCAACGAUGCGUAGCCGACCUGAGAGGGGGAUAGGCCACACUGGAAGUGGGACACGGUCCAGACGCCUACGGGAGGCAGCAGUAGGGAAUCUUCCGCAAUGGGCGAAAGCCUGACGGAGCAACGCCGCGUGAGUGAUGAAGGUCUUCGGAUCGUAAAACUCUGUUAUUAGGGAAGAACAAAUGUGUAAGUAACUAUGCACGUCUUGACGGUACCGAAUCAGAAAGCCACGGCUAACUACGUG